UCCCUUUCCCUGCAGUCUCCAUUUUAUGUUCCUGACGCAGAAAAUAAAAAGCUUUCAGGUACAUUUUGGGCAGAAAAACUGCCCCCGGGGGUGACACUUAAAAAUGGAGAGCUUUUCACACUUUUAUAGGUUUGGUCCAUUUGCAUAUUGGGGGUGAAUCUCCCAAUUCCAGAUGCACUCAGGCUGCUCUCUGGGAAGGAUGAUGAUUCUGGCCUUGCUGAUUCAUCCAGCCCUGGCUGAGGAUCUUUCUGGAAGCAUCUCCCGUGCCCAGUGUCUGCUGAGAACUUGAAGGAAAUCUUACACAGAACGAGAGGAUGGAUCACAGUGGAAUAUUCUGAACUUCCCAGCAGACACAGAUAAGAUAAGAGUGUCAAAUCUGUGGGGGGAAAAAUUGACAAUAUCCUUUUGCUUUUAGGGAGAAGAAGGUUUCAAAGAGGAUGUGAGCUGUGGCAAAAGGAGGCCGUUUCCCCUUUCCCACCCUUCCCACAGGAGGUGCAAAUGUCACCCCAGCACUGAGCAGAUUAGGCUGGGCUCACCUUUGAGCUCCUCUGGGCAGCUGUGCCAGGGCCUCAUUGCCCUCCCGGGGAAGAAUUUCUUCCCAAAAUCCACUUCCAGCUCCUCUGGGCAGCUGUGCCAGGCCCUCACCGCCCUCCCAGGCAAGAAUUUCUUCCCAAAAUCCACUUCCAGCUGCCCUGCCACGACCAGGGACAUCUUUAACCAGAGCAGAUUUCUCAGAGCCCCAUUGCUCAGCCCUCCCAUGCUCCCCACUCCCCCUCCCAAAGAGAACUGAACCCCUUUUGUGUGGUUUCCCCCUCCCUCCCACCCAGCAGCUGCUCCUGCUGCCCUGCAGAGGCAGGAAACACGAUCUGCCCCACAAAGCUGGGGAGGGAGGGAGGAGGCAGAGGAGAAGCAGCAGCGAGAGGAGCAGGGAACAGCUGGAGGGCAAGGAUGGGGUUCAGCAGAGUGUUUGGGGCAGCAGGAGCUGUGGGAUGGAUACAAAGAGAGCUACAGAUGAGGACAGAGAUGCACUGGAGCUGGAUCCCCGAGGAUGGGGCAGCACAAAGAGUGUUUUACUGAGAGGAGAAGUCCUGAGAGCAGCAAUUUCAGGUUUGCAGAGCUCCACCUUUAUCUGAGGAUAAAAACCUCGCAGCAGCGAUGUGCAAAGCCUGCUGAGCUCCAGAGAACCUUCUCAAACCCCAGAGGCUUUUUUGGCCUUUUUUGCAUCCCACCCCAAAGCCCGUGCACCCCUUCAGGGCUGCACUCUUCCAUCCCCUCCUGGAUUUCCUGGGAAGCUCGGUGGGUGUCAGCACCAGGACUCUUUUCUCUCUUCCCAGGCCGUGAUGCUGAAUCCUCUAUUCCAACCACACACGUUUCACAUUUAUUUCAAAUGUGGUUUAAAAGGGAGGGAGGGGGAGAGGCCAUAAAUAUCCUCUCCCAGUGCUGUUUCCUGAGCCUGGGAAUAACCAAAGGAAUGGGAUGGGCUCUGUGGGGUUGGCUCUGUGGGACAGAUCUGUGCAGUCCCAAAUGGGUGAGUAAAUCCUCCCCUGGCAGGCAAAGUUUUGGGGAGUAGAGAGGACCUGGCCUCGCUCCCGGCACUGCCCAUAUUUUCAUAUUUUCAUAUUUUCAUAUUUUCAUAUUUUCAUAUUUUCAUAUUUUCAUAUUUCAUGUAUUUCCACACUCCUCCGUGUGUGCUCAGGGACAGGGAUUAGAACAAACCCUGUCGUUUUGUAAUGGAGCAGCCAUUUCCUUCACCUUUUUGCACCUCCACCCGUGAGAUUCGGAUGUCACUGAGUGUAAGUUUGGGAGCCUCCCGAGCCUGCAGGCACAGACCUGCAGCAGUGACCUCUCUCAGCAGUUGUGGCUGCUCUGAAUUCCACUUUCAGCUUGGCCCGGGGGGUUACGGUGACUCUGCCUGUCCCCUGCUGUCCCCACGGCGUGGGGCUGCUCCCUGCUACCAGAUGCAUUCCUUGCUUCCCACAUAUGGCCUCAAUUACUGCCCCUCUCCCUCGGUUUCCUGCCUCUCUGGGUUUCCUGAAACUCAUCCCCUCCUCCUGGCAGCCUCAGCUCCUGCAGUGAGAUGCUUUGUGAGCUCUCACAUUCCUCCCUCCCUCCUUUUGCUGCCUCUGUCGGGGGGAUCCUGCCUCAGACCCCCCCGAGCGCUGCCACUGAGCCCCCCAAGGGCCUGGCUGGCCACAGCCAAACUGGCCAGCCCAGUGGUCAGCAGGGCUUUGUCCCAGCUCCUCUGGACAGAGCUCCCCGCCCUCCCCCAGCAUCCACCCCACACCACCCCGCACUUCUCAGCCAGCUCCUUCACUCCCAAGGCUGAGGUUUCUUUAGAUUGACAUCCCCUCCUGAGGCUGGGGGCUUUCCAAGCCUCUGCCCUUUGAAAGGAGCAUAAAACCUCUCUGGGUUUCCCCUGGGUGCUGCCUGGCCUCUUUCCUGAGCAUUUUCCCCGGCAGAAAAACCAUGUGCCCGUGCACAAAGGCUUUGGAGGAGGGGAGAGGGCUCUGUCUGUGGCUCUUGAGCCUUUUCCUGCUGCUGGGGGGAGCCCCCGGCCCUGCAGCACCGGGAUGCUGCAAAUCCUCAGGGGUCUGAGCUUGUUCAGGGCACGGGGGGAGGUGGGAACAGUUAAAUCCCACAAAAGAUCCAGUUAAUGAUUCCCAUCCCCUUGCUGGCACGUUCCAGCUUUUGGAAGGGGGUCUGGCCAGCAGCUGUGCCAGCAAUUGUAGCUCCAAAAGCGCAUUUUCCUUCUGUGUCAGCUCUCAUUUGUGGCCCCUCUGGACUCCCCUGGUGCCUGCAGAUGCCAGAGUUUCCUGCUGCUGCAAUUCCCUGUGACUCUUCCUUCCCCUCCGUGGAGCUGUGUGAUGAGGAGAGGGGUGAGGAAGGCACUGCUGGCUCUGUGUUUCCUGUCCCGUCCUUCCCUAAGCCUAGGAGAGGCUUUUUCCCAGGAUAAAAGUGACUCGGCAGCAUUUGGGGAAGGCAGGAAAAGCUGAGAAGCUGCACCUCUGGAAGCGGGGGAGCAGUUUGGGAUGUUUGGGGGUAACAACAUCUACAGCUCAGCAGUUCCACAGCCACAUCCAACUGCAGCAGCCCCUCUGUAUAACAAGGUUCAUAUAUCAGAGAUAUAUAUAUAUGAUUUAUUAUUAUAUUUAUAUAUAAAUAUAUAUAAUAUAA